UACGUAGGGGGGCAAGCGUUGUCCGGAUUUAUUGGGCGUAAAGAGCGUGUAGGCGGUUAGGUAGGUCCGUUGUGAAAACUCGAGGCUCAACCUCGAGACGCCGAUGGAAACCAUCUGACUAGAGUCCGGAAGAGGAGAGUGGAAUUCCUGGUGUAGCGGUGAAAUGCGCAGAUAUCAGGAAGAACACCCGUGGCUAAGGCGGCUCUCUAGUACGGUACUGACGCUGAGACGCGAAAGCGUGGGGAGCAAACAGG
rnacentral:rRNA from 1 species